rnacentral:rRNA from 1 species
UGGGUUAAGUCCCGCAACGAGCGCAACCCUUAUCCUUUGUUGCCAGCGAUUAGGUCGGGAACUCAAAGGAGACUGCCAGUGAUAAACUGGAGGAAGGUGGGGAUGACGUCAAGUCAUCAUGGCCCUUACGACCAGGGCUACACACGUGCUACAAUGGCGCAUACAAAGAGAAGCGACCUCGCGAGAGCAAGCGGACCUCAUAAAGUGCGUCGUAGUCCGGAUUGGAGUCUGCAACUCGACUCCAUGAAGUCGGAAUCGCUAGUAAUCGUGGAUCAGAAUGCCACGGUGAAUACGUUCCCGGGCCUUGUACACACCGCCCGUCACACCAUGGGAGUGGGUUGCAAAAGAAGUAGGUAGCUUAACCUUCGGGAGGGCGCUUACCACUUUGUGAUUCAUGACUGGGGUGAAGUCGUAACAAGGUAACCGUAGGGGAACCUGCGGUUGGAUCACCUCCUUACCUUAAAGAA